rnacentral:tRNA from 1 species
GGCUCGGUGGUCUAGGGGGCAUGAUUCUCGCUUCGGGUGCGAGAGGUCCCGUGUUCAAAUAGCGGCCGAGCCC